AUGUCGCGAUCCAACUGGCAGGAGUACAAAUGUGGGCAUCUGGUGUUCGCCAAGAUGAAGGGUUACCCACACUGGCCCGCCCGGAUUGACGAGAUGCCCGAAGAUGCCGUGAAAUCAACAGCCAACAAAUACCAAGUCUUUUUUGGGGGGGCAUUCCUGGGCCCCAAAGACCUCUUCCCUUACGAGAAAUCCAAGGAGAAGUUUGGCAAGCCCAACAAGAGGAAAGUGCGGGGCUGUGGGAGAUCGAGAACAACCCUACCGUCAAGGCUUCUGGCUAUCAGUCCUCCCAGAAAAAGAGCUGCAUGGAAGAGCCUGAACCUGAGCCCGAAGCCACAGAGGGCACGGUGAUAAAAGGAAAAUGCAGAGGGCAGCAGCAACAAGGAAGGGAAGCUGGUCAUCGAUGAGCCAGGAGAAGAACGAGAAAAGAGUGCUGAAGAGGAGAGCGGGGGACCUGCUGGAGGACUCUCCUAAACGUCCCAAGGAGGCAGAAAACCCUGAGGGGGAGGAGAAGAGGCAGCCACCUUGGAGGGUAAGAGGCCCCUUCCUGUGGAGGUGGAAAAAAAUAGCACCCCCUCUGAGCCUGGCUCUUGCCAGGGGCCUCCCCAAGAGGAAGAAGAGGAAGAGGCUGCCAAGGAAGAUGCUGAGGCCCCAGGCAUCAGAGAUCAUGAAAGCCUGUAGCCACCAAUGUUUCAAAAGGAGCCCCCACCCAUUCCUGCUGCUAUCUGGGUGCUAGUGGGGAAACUGGCCUUGGCCUGCAAACUGGGAACCCCUUUUCCACCCCAGCCUGCUCUCCUCUUCCACUUACUUUUCCCACUCCAAGCCCAGGCCAUGGAGAUUGACCUGGAUGGAGCAGGCCACCUGGCCCUUAACUCUAGGUCCCCAUACUCCUGUGAUCUGAGUCAGAGCCAUGUCUUCUGCUCCCUGGGAUGAGAUGAGGCCACUGUAUUCCUUCUGCUUGGAGCUAUUUUCCAAGCUUUUGCUGGGGCCUGGGCCAACUGUUCCACCUCCUGACAACCUUCUUCCACUCUCCUAGGCAUUUUGGACCUCUGGUUGGGAUCAGGGGUAGAAAUGGAAAAGAUGGAGCAUAAACAGCAUGGUAGGCUUAUGGGGCCUGGGAGGGGCAAUCCUCAAAUGGGGGGUGGGGGCAGCACAGGAGCGUGGCAUCUUCCUGAGCUCCUGUCCCCUGCUACACCUGUUUUCCCAGCUGCCUAGAUUCAGGGAAAGUGUGACAGCUUGUAGGGAAGAGACUUCCUUCCAUAAAUCCUUGAUGGUUGACAACACCCAUUUUUCCUUUUGUAGACCCAAGAGUUCUAGGAGUUGUAGUUAAUCAUCAAAAGAUUUUGGGACUUCCAAGUUGUUUGGGCCAAGGACCUGAGACCUGAAGGGCUGACUUUACCCAUUUGGGUGGGAGUGUUGAGCAUUUAUCCCCCUUUAGAUCUCUGAAGCCAAAAAGGGGAUGCUUGGGAAGACCCCUAGCUGCCCUUUUCCCUCUCCACACAGUGCUCAAGGCCAGCUUAUCAUUAUGUAUAUCACCCAGACAUAAAAAAAAAAAAGUUACAUUUUUUAGGAAAUUUUUUAAUAAAAGAAAAUUACAAAAAAAUUUUAAAGACCCCUAACCUUUUUUGUGCUCCCCAUUCUGCUCCUUCCUUCCCCAUCAUUGCCCACAUUUCUG